GACACUUUGGCCGAGUGGUUAAGGCGCACGCCUGCUAAGCGUGUGGGUUCGCCCGCGUGUGUUCGAAUCACACAGGUGUCG
rfam:Penicillium antarcticum strain IBT 31811 PENANT_contig007, whole genome shotgun sequence.